rnacentral:rRNA from 1 species
UACGGGGGGGGCAAGCGUUGUUCGGAAUUACUGGGCGUAAAGGGCUCGUAGGCGGCCAACUAAGUCAUACGUGAAAUCCCUCAGCUUAACUGGGGAACUGCGUGUGAUACUGGAUGGCUUGGAUUUGGGAGAGGGAUGCGGAAUUCCAGGUGUAGCGGUGAAAUGCGUAGAUAUCUGGAGGAACACCGAUGGCGAAGGCAGGUCUCUGGGCAUUAACUGACGCUGAGGAGCGAAAGCAUGGGGAGCGAACAGG